GAUGAAGAACGUAGCGAAAUGCGAUAAGUAAUGUGAAUUGCAGAACUCAGUGAAUCAUCGAAUCUUUGAACGCACAUUGCGCCCCCUGGCCUUCCGGGGGGCAUGCCUGUCCGAGCGUCAUUACAACCCUCAAGCUCAGCUUGGUGUUGGGCCCCGCCGCCCCGGCGGGCCCUAAAGUCAGUGGCGGUGCCGUCCGGCUCCGAGCGUAGUAAUUCUUCUCGCUCUGGAGGUCCGGUCGUGUGCUCGCCAGCAACCCCCAAUUUUUUUCAGGUUGACCUCGGAUCAGGUAGGGAUACCCGCUGAACUUAAGCAUAUCAAUAAGCGGAGGA
rnacentral:misc_RNA from 1 species